rnacentral:rRNA from 1 species
GAUGAACGCUGGCGGCGUGCCUAAUACGUGCAAGUCGAGCGAACGGACGAGAAGCUUGCUUCUCUGAUGUUAGCGGCGGACGGGUGAGUAACACGUGGAUAACCUACCUAUAAGACUGGGAUAACUUCGGGAAACCGGAGCUAAUACCGGAUAAUAUUUUGAACCGCAUGGUUCAAAAGUGAAAGACGGUCUUGCUGUCACUUAUAGAUGGAUCCGCGCUGCAUUAGCUAGUUGGUAAGGUAACGGCUUACCAAGGCAACGAUGUAUAGCCGACCUGAGAGGGUGAUCGGCCACACUGGAACUGAGACACGGUCCAGACUCCUACGGGAGGCAGCAGUAGGGAAUCUUCCGCAAUGGGCGAAAGCCUGACGGAGCAACGCCGCGUGAGUGAUGAAGGUCUUCGGAUCGUAAAACUCUGUUAUUAGGGAAGAACAUAUGUGUAAGUAACUGUGCACAUCUUGACGGUACCUAAUCAGAAAGCCACGGCUAACUACGUG